rnacentral:rRNA from 1 species
CUCAGAACAAACGCUGGCGGCGUGCCUAACACAUGCCAGUCGUACGAGAAAGUCCGCUUCGGUGGAUGAGUAAAGUGGCGCACGGGUGAGUAACGCGUGGAUAAUCUACCCUUUAGUCUGGAAUAACUUAUCGAAAGGUGAACUAAUACCGGAUAAUAUCCCGAUUUCUUCGGCGAUCGGGAUCAAAGAAGGCCUCUGCUUGCAAGCUUUCACUGAAGGAUGAGUCCGCGUACCAUUAGCUAGUUGGCAGGGUAAUGGCCUACCAAGGUUAUGAUGGUUAGCUGGUCUGAGAGGAUGAUCAGCCACACUGGAACUGAAACACGGUCCAGACUCCUACGGGAGGCAGCAGUGAGGAAUAUUGCGCAAUGGGGGCAACCCUGACGCAGCAACGCCGCGUGAGUGAGGAAGGUUUUCGGAUUGUAAAGCUCUGUCGAGCGGAAAGAAGUGCAUGGUGGUUAAUAUCCAUCAUGCUUGACGGUACCGCUAAAGGAAGCACCGGCUAACUCCGUGCCAGCAGCCGCGGUAAUACGGGGGGUGCAAGCGUUGUUCGGAAUCAUUGGGCGUAAAGCGCGUGUAGGCGGCUGGACAAGUCAGAUGUGAAAGCCCUGGGCUUAACCCAGGAAGUGCAUUUGAAACUGUUCAGCUAGAGUAAGGGAGAGGAAAGUGGAAUUCCUGGUGUAGAGGUGAAAUUCGUAGAUAUCAGGAGGAACACCGGUGGCGAAGGCGACUUUCUGGCCCUAUACUGACGCUGAGACGCGAAAGCGUGGGUAGCAAACAG